rnacentral:rRNA from 1 species
AGCGGCAGGCUUAACACAUGGCAAGUCGAGGGGCAGCACGGGUAGCAAUACCUGGUGGCGACCGGCGGCAAGGGUGCGUUAACGCGUGAGCAACAUGCCCUAUACAGGGGGAUAAUCCAGGGAAACUUGGUCUAAUAUCCCAUAGGUAUUUAGAGGAGGCAUCUUCUAUAAAUUAAAGCUUCGGUGGUAUAGGAUUGGCUCGCGUGACAUUAGCUAGAUGGUGAGGUAACGGCUCACCAUGGCAAUCGAUGUCUAGGGGUUCUGAGAGGAAGGCCCCCCACACUGGGACUGAGACACGGCCCAGACUCCUACGGGAGGCAGCAGUGAGGAAUAUUGGACAAUGGAUGGAAAUCUGAUCCAGCCAUGCCGCGUGCAGGAAGACAGCCCUAUGGGUUGUAAACUGCUUUUAUAUGGGAGCAAUAAGGUCUACGUGUAGACUGAUGAGAGUACCAUAUGAAUAAGCAUCGGCUAACUCCGUG